rnacentral:piRNA from 1 species
UGAGAGUAAUGAGGUCGGAAAGAAGGG